CCUACGGGUGGCAGCAGUGGGGAAUAUUGCGCAAUGGGCGAAAGCCUGAUGCAGCGACGCCGCGUGAGGGAUGAAGGUCUUCGGAUUGUAAACCUCUGUCAGCAGGGAAGAACGGUCACUGUGCUAAUCAGCAGUGAAUUGACGGUACCUGCACAGGAAGCACCGGCUAACUCCGUGCCAGCAGCCGCGGUAAUACGGAGGGUGCGAGCGUUAACCGGAAUUACUGGGCGUAAAGCGCUCGUAGGCGGUAUGUUAAGUCCAGGGUGAAAUCCCCGGGCUCAACGUGGGGACGGCGUUUGAAACUGGCAAACUGGAGUGAGAGAGAGGAAAGUGGAAUUCCAGGUGAAGGGGUGAAAUGCGUAGAUAUCUGGAAGAACAUCAGUGGCGAAGGCGGCUAACUGGCACAAAACUGACGCUGAGGAGCGAAAGCGUGGGGAGCAAACAGGAUUAGAUACCCGAGUAGUC
rnacentral:rRNA from 1 species